AAUAACUUAUUUCAUUAUACGAUUCACUUAUAUCAAUGAUGUGCUCCAACAGUGGUUUGAAUUGGUUUUACUACAUAUGCGGCUGGAAUCAAGCUGAUUUAAGAUAAGAAACCUCCUUGCGUUUGUAUCACUUAAAAGAAGAAUUUCGCGACUAAAAACUAGACAAAAAGAAAUUUGUAAAAGAUUAAUGAUUAAGAACAAAACCCAAGACGCUUUUUUGAAAACUACAAUAUAAAUCUUCAGCUUCCAGCGCAAGAACAGGUAUGCCGAGAUGCGCAGCACCACGAAGAUCACAAUUAGGGCCACAAUGUCGAGUGUAAAGUUAGCGUUAACCAUGUCCAGUUCCUCCAGCGUGGUGGCCAGAGCUGUGCCCUCGAAUCCAUAUCGUAUGUACGACAAAUAUGUGAUCCACCUUAAGUAUACUGGUAUAGCGUCAAAGGAGACAAAGAAGCCGGAGAACAGAAGGAAGGGCACGGACAUCACUGGGGCCAGGAAGACACCGUUCUGAACAUUCAUUGCAGCGCCUACCACCAGACCCACGGACUGAGCAACGAAAGAAAUGAGAAGGCAGGCCGACAAGAACAUGGAAAAGCGGAAUAGCUCCCAAGGUUGUGAAGUGAAAUAAUACACGAUCGACACGUAGAUAACGCAGAAAAUAGCCUAAAAGAAACAAUUAUUUUGUAUUAGUAACAUUCGCUCUACUCAACAGCUGAGUGCAACUCACUUGAAACGGUAAAUCAGCAACUGAUAUAGCCAAAUAGUAGGACUUUAGCGAGUACCAGCGAUUAAAGUUUUCUUUCAACAAAACGGGCAUCUCAAGCGGGACUAGAACACACAAAAUAAUAUAUUAACUACAGAGAAAGGAAUAUCAAACUGGUUUCCUUACAUGAUAGGAUCGUAAUAGUCAUAGAUGUAUACAUGAGGAAAAGCAUGUUAAAGAAUAGGAAUCCCAGGUUGCUCAAAACUUUUGCUCCAUCAUUGCCAAUGUCAUAGUAGAGUGCCCCAAUCAAAAAUCCAACUAACAGAUGGGCAAAUAAACGCAGAUACAUAAGAGUCUAUAAU
ensembl:ncRNA asRNA:CR44969 antisense RNA:CR44969